ACGUUCUACAAUUAUUCAUUAGCAACGUUUCACUACUAAUUUAGGCGUGCCUACUUACGUUGAAAGUGCUUGUGAGUAGAUCUAAAUAAAACAAUUAAACGUUUCUGCAACAUUUUCAAGACAGUCGCUUCGGCGGGAUCAAGAGCUCUUAAGUAACUGGUCGAAUUUUUCGUUCAUCACGAUUAUUAUAACAACUCGUAUUGGCGUCACAGUUGAAAGUCUAAGCUUUAGAGAUUGCCUAACUAGCAGGAGGAUUAAGUAAUGACUGGAAAUUCUGUAUUUUACAAUCAUUUUGUUCGAAAUUCGCUGUUUAAAAUUUGGACAGAUUUUGGACCAACAAAUAAAACACCCAUAAAUAAAUAAAAUUCGAGUCA